rnacentral:lncRNA from 1 species
AUGAUCACUCCCUUGUGCCUGGAAAACACAGCAGUUGAGAAAACAACUAGUACAAUCUCCGUGCAGGCCAGCCUGCGUUUCAGGUGCUUCUCCCUGCAGAGAGCCUCCUGUUACCUUCCUACCUCCUUCCUUGAGCCCAGCUCAUCCCUGGGCUGUGGAGAAGCCAAGCUCAAAGUGGCAGAAGAGCAAGCUUUCCCCUCCUCAGUCCCGUUCCUGGGGGUUCAUGGUUUGUCUCUGUGCUCGCUGAGUGCCUGUAACUCAUGAAUCAAGAAGCUAAAGGUCACUGCACAGAAUCUGUCCAUCACACAGACCUUGCCUCAGGAAUGCAGCCACUGGAUCCAUCCUUUGGUGAGCAAUGUAAGCUUGGUCAUUCUGAAUGUCUGUUCUCUCAUCUUGAUGUUUUCCUUUGACAUUAAAGAGCCAAUUGCUGGUAUUUUGCUGGAUUUAGUUUGGAUAGAAUGGAAGCAGUCAGAUUUCAUCCUUUUAUAUAAUUCUAGCCUAGCCCUGGAGACAGCUGUGAAUCCACAGAGGUCUGACUUCUAUUCAUAACUGGUUUCAGUCCUGUGUUGCUUAUUGUGUGUGUCUGAGAUCAGUAAAAAUUAAACAUCGAUUAAAAGUUUUCUGAUGGCAGUAACUGAAAAGGCAAUGGGAUACUCAGAAAUUAUUUUCUACUCCACAGUUUUUUUCAUAAGCUUUUUUCUUAGUAUCUGUUUGCCAUGGGAUCUAUAGCUGCCUGUCUUAUAA